CUUUAACAGAAGCUUCAUUGACCUCGAUCUCUGUUGCAGGAAGGAGUCUGGCAAGCCCAGCCCCCAUCUCCUCCCAUGGCUCUGUCCCCAGGAGCUUAGCAAAGCCCCACCCCUGAUGGGAGCCACGGAAGGAUCACAGUGUGGGAGCAGCCUGAGCAAGCAGUCCAGCACCAGCUGUGGCCUAUUUAUCACAUGCCUCCUGAACCCCUGAUCUGAGCUGCCGCUCCCUCUUUUCUGGAAAGCUAAGUCGCGGGAAUUAUUCCCCAAAUGUAUGCCAAGAGAGGAGGCCAUGUGAGAUGGGGGGCGAUGGAGGUGCUCAGUUUCCAAAGGGGAUAAGGUAAGGACUUCCUCCUCCUUCUGUCCCCACCUCCCCCCCCCAAGACCUCUCCCCACUUUCCCCUAUGGCCCCCACCCCCUCACUCCAGACUCAACCCAGAGAAAACACUUUGCUGUGUUCCAUUCAGCUAGACUAAUGGCAGAGUCCCAGGAACUCGCUCUGGGACCCAUGGGGUCUUUCCUCAGUACCUUCCCAGGGCUUGGGGGAGGGGAGGCUAGCCCUGCCCUGCUCCCACCUCCAUUUCCGGGGUGCUGCUGGGGAAAAUUGAUGUCCCUCUCAGGUUUAGGAACCGAUCCCACACUAAAAAGAAAGAAGAAAGAGAGAAAGAAAUGAUGUUAAUUUUUUUUAGGUCCAGAAAUGAAGCAGAAGUGAGUAAAUUUUAAUGAAACGGUGCAAAAAUGACAUCAUUUACUCAGAAAUCAUUAAUUUGUCAGCAUUAAUAUUUCAGCUACAACAUUGCCUGUCAUUUUGUGCCUGCAAUGACUGAUAAAUCUAUA